AGAGUUUGAUCCUGGCUCAGAUUGAACGCUGGCGGCAUGCUUUACCCAUGCAAGUCGAACGGCAGCGGGGGCUUCGGCCUGCCGGCGAGUGGCGAACGGGUGAGUAAUACAUCGGAACGUGUCCUUAAGUGGGGAAUAACGCAUCGAAAGAUGUGCUAAUACCGCAUAUCUCUCAGGAGGAAAGCAGGGGAUCGCAAGACCUUGCGCUAAAGGAGCGGCCGAUGUCUGAUUAGCUAGUUGGUGGGGUAAAGGCCUACCAAGGCAACGAUCAGUAGCUGGUCUGAGAGGACGAUCAGCCACACUGGGACUGAGACACGGCCCAGACUCCUACGGGAGGCAGCAGUGGGGAAUUUUGGACAAUGGGCGAAAGCCUGAUCCAGCCAUGCCGCGUGAGUGAAGAAGGCCUUCGGGUUGUAAAGCUCUUUUAGUUGGAAAGAAAGAAUUAUAGUUAAUAGCUAUAAUUUAUGACGGUACCAACAGAAAAAGCACCGGCUAACUACGUGCUAGCAGCCGCGGUAAUACGUAGGGUGCGAGCGUUAAUCGGAAUUACUGGGCGUAAAGGGUGCGCAGGCGGCCAUGCAAGUCAGAUGUGAAAGCCCCGGGCUUAACCUGGGAAUUGCGUUGAAACUGCAGCUAGAGUGCAACAGAGGGGAGUGGAAUUC
rnacentral:rRNA from 1 species